UACGAAGGGGGCUAGCGUUGCUCGGAUUUACUGGGCGUAAAGGGCGCGUAGGCGGACAGUUUAGUCAGAGGUGAAAGCCCGGGGCUCAACCUCGGAAUUGCCUUUGAUACUGGCUGUCUUGAGUACGGGAGAGGUGUGUGGAACUCCGAGUGUAGAGGUGAAAUUCGUAGAUAUUCGGAAGAACACCAGUGGCGAAGGCGACACACUGGCCCGUUACUGACGCUGAGGCGCGAAAGCGUGGGGAGCAAACAGGAUUAGAUACCCCAGUAGU
rnacentral:rRNA from 1 species